GGGGAUGUAGCUCAUUGGUAAAGCACUUGCUUAGCAUGUAUGAGGCCCUGUGUUCAAUCCCCAGCACCUCAA
rnacentral:tRNA from 2 species